CCUACGGGUGGCAGCAGUGGGGAAUAUUGCACAAUGGGGGAAACCCUGAUGCAGCGACGCCGCGUGAGUGAAGAAGUAAUUCGUUAUGUAAAGCUCUAUCAGCAGGGAAGAAAAUGACGGUACCUGAGUAAGAAGCCCCGGCUAACUACGUGCAAGCAGCCGCGGUAAUACGGAGGGGGCAAGCGUUAUCCGGAUUUACUGGGUGUAAAGGGAGCGUAGACGGGAGUGCAAGUAUGUAGUGAAAGUCGGGGGCUCAACCCCCGGACUGCACUUGAAACUGUAAGGCUGGAGUGGAGGAGAGGUAAGUGGAAUUCCUAGUGUAGCGGUGAAAUGCGUAGAUAUUAGGAGGAACACCAGUGGCGAAGGCGGCUUACUGGACUGUCACUGACGUUGAGGCUCGAAAGCGUGUGGAGCAAACAGGAUUAGAUACCCUUGUAGUC
rnacentral:rRNA from 1 species